rnacentral:tRNA from 1 species
GGGGAUGUGGCGGAAUUGGUAUACGCGUAUGUUUGAGGUGCAUAUGGGGCAACCCAUGAGAGUUCGAUUCUCUCCAUCCCCA